rnacentral:lncRNA from 1 species
CUGACCACAAAAACCCUAGCCGCCUGCCCUCGCCAGAGAAGACGAACCAGACGCCGGAGGAGCCGGCCGCCGCCACCCGCCGCCGCAGCGGGGAGUUUUUCGACCGUCGAUCGAGGUAAAUUUCAUACCCCCGACUCAUUUUUCCACGCUGAGUUCCCCUGUGGCCAAAUCGGAGCCAAAAUCCAGGCCAAACGGUCGAAAAACACGGCCGAAACCCAGUGGCGCCGCCGCGCCCCUCCUCAAUUUUUGCCUCCGAUGAGGCCCUUCCCGGCCUCCGUUUGAUGCAAUUUUUAUAUCACCGUGAUCACCAUUCUUUUCUCUAGAGGUUGAUCGGAGCCGAAUCACCAAAACACAAACCUCGUUGGAGAGCCGCCGCACCCAAGAGCACCGCCGCCGGUAAGCUUCGGUUUUCUGUAAUUUUUUGGUCCCCCGAGGGCCCUAGGGUUGUUUUAUCGCAGGGACCGAUGCAAGUGUGGCUGAAUUCGGCCAGAAA